AGAGUUUGAUUCUGGCUCAGGACGAACGCUGGCGGCGUGCUUAACACAUGCAAGUCGAACGAUGAAGCCUAGCUUGCUAGGUGGAUUAGUGGCGAACGGGUGAGUAAUACGUGAGUAACCUACCUUUAACUCUGGGAUAAGCCUGGGAAACUGGGUCUAAUACCGGAUACGACCAAUCUCCGCAUGGGGUGUUGGUGGAAAGCGUUAUGUAGUGGUUAUAGAUGGGCUCACGGCCUAUCAGCUUGUUGGUGAGGUAACGGCUCACCAAGGCGACGACGGGUAGCCGGCCUGAGAGGGUGACCGGCCACACUGGGACUGAGACACGGCCCAGACUCCUACGGGAGGCAGCAGUGGGGAAUAUUGCACAAUGGGCGCAAGCCUGAUGCAGCGACGCCGCGUGAGGGAUGACGGCCUUCGGGUUGUAAACCUCUGUUAGCAGGGAAGAAGAGAAAUUGACGGUACCUGCAGAGAAAGCGCCGGCUAACUACGUGCCAGCAGCCGCGGUAAUACGUAGGGCGCGAGCGUUGUCCGGAAUUAUUGGGCGUAAAGAGCUUGUAGGCGGUUUGUCGCGUCUGCUGUGAAAGGCCGGGGCUUAACCCCGUGUAUUGCAGUGGGUACGGGCAGACUAGAGUGCAGUAGGGGAGACUGGAAUUCCUGGUGUAGCGGUGGAAUGCGCAGAUAUCAGGAGGAACACCGAUGGCGAAGGCAGGUCUCUGGGCUGUAACUGACGCUGAGAAGCGAAAGCAUGGGGAGCGAACAGGAUUAGAUACCCUGGUAGUCCAUGCCGUAAACGUUGGGCACUAGGUGUGGGGGACAUUCCACGUUUUCCGCGCCGUAGCUAACGCAUUAAGUGCCCCGCCUGGGGAGUACGGCCGCAAGGCUAAAACUCAAAGGAAUUGAC
rnacentral:rRNA from 1 species